CUCCUGUUGUCUGCCUGCUCCCUUUGGAUCGCUGUUUGGACUACCUUAGUUUUUGGACUCUGUAUUCAGCCACUUACCUGUAAGUGUGCUUUUGGUUUGUUCAUUAAAACCCUUUGUACUGUACCUCCUCCAGCCUUGCGUCCUGUGUUUGGGUCAUCCAACCUGCCUCACCCACACCAAACCGUGACACCGGCACACGUGGGCAGUUUCUUGUAAGCACACAAUUUUAUUAUAUUUUUGAGUAAUUUCAUUAAUUGCUAUAUUAAGGACAUUUAUAGUGCAUUUUUAUGUUUUGCAUGCAUUAUGGGUUGGCAUCCUUCACUAUGUCUGCAACAUUCACACCUGGACUAUGGGAAGUUGCAAACACAGGCACCUUGAAUCGGAUCAAAUGCAGGGAAAGAUGUGGAUCAAGAGAGACUCCCAGUGCCACAAAGCUUUAGUGGACAUAGUUCUCGAUAAGAGGUGGCAGAUGUUCACAACUAUCUGCGAUUCAGAUCGACUGCAGACCUAGAGUCAUUCCAGAAUCAUAUCCUGAUGUAUGCCAGCAAGCGCUAUGCUUUCAGCCCCUCAGUUUAUGUGACUUAUGUGACAAGACUUCUGCUUGCUGCUUUGGACUACAAUUUCCACCGGAACCGACCAACAAUGAAAACGUUGGACGGCAAAGAUAGUUGCAAAGGAUUGUGGAGUGGGGAUGCCUAGAAGGAGGAGCCUUCUCCCACAUGACCCCAGACAGCUUGGUUUGGUGCCCCCCAUACCUGCACCAGCCACAGCAGACUUGCUGCAGAGAAAAGUCAGAGGUCUAGGACCGUUAUUCCAACCAGCAUCUGAUGUGGAAGGAUCCCCACAUCAGAUGAAAAUAGAUCACAUUGCAUGUGUCCUGGUACUUGUCAGGCAGGAUCACGAGGGGAAGAACUUCCGUUCACUGACUCCUCAAAAAGAGAAAUUAACAUUAAAUUCUGUUCCUACCCUCCUCCAGUGGUUAUUUCAUGUUUUUCCAAUUUGUACAUGUUUCAUCUUAAGUCCACUGUGACCAGUGCAUAUUUUCAGUAGGUAGCCUAAAUCAGUUUACAGUUUGAACAGUAAUGAUAAGUAAGGCUACAGCUGUCCCCUAUUAUGUAAAUAUAAAGAACUAAAAUUGGUAUUGGAAAUGUUAUGGCAAAGUUUGAAAUUCUAAACACAUGUUCAGAUGUAUAUAAUGAAAAUAAAAACACCAUGUGCUUCUA